GACGAACGCUGGCGGCGUGCUUAAUACAUGCAAGUCAACUGAACUUUAGGUAGCAAUAUUUAAAGGGAGGUGGCGCACGGGUGAGUAACACGUAGGUAAUCUGCCUUCAGGACUGACAUAAUUCCGCGAAAGCGGGACUAAAAUCAGAUGAUGCAGCGGCUCGACAUCGAGACAGUUGUUAAACCUUCGGGGCCUGAAGAUGAGCCUGCGUCUGAUUAGGUAGUUGGCGGGGUAAAAGCCCACCAAGCCUGCGAUCAGUAGCUGGUCUGAGAGGAUGAUCAGCCACACUGGAACUGAGACACGGUCCAGACUCCUACGGGAGCAGCAGUAAGGAAUAUUGCUCAAUGGCCGAAAGGCUGAAGCAGCAACGCCGCGUGGAGGAUGAAAUACUUUAGUAUGUAAACUCCUGUAAGAGGGGAAAAAUAUACAGCUAUGCUGUGUUGAUUGUACCUCAGAGUAAGCACCGGCU
rnacentral:rRNA from 1 species